GCUUAAUUUCCCGACUCUGCACCCCCCACUACUGUUUAUAUGUGCACGUAUUUAACGAAUGGCGGGAAGUUUGAAAAUGGCCAUGACCAACCAGCUAGAGCAAUCUAACCUUACACUUACAUUUAUAAAAGUGUUUUGUUAUUGUUUUUGUAUAAGUGAACUAUUUUAAUUUUAUCAAAUUUACGUUUUAUAUUAAUAAAAUGUAUCCUUAAAAUUUGAGGAACAAUUUAGUGAUGAUGAAAGAAUAAUAUAUUUUUUAAAUAACGCUUGAACCUGUACCAUACAAGAACGAAAAAAGUUAUGAAAGAAUUUGAUGAUAACAAAUUUUUAUUAAGGUUUAUAGUUUCCAUAAAAAUACUGUGAGACAAUUUAUACAAGAGCUGGUCCCUGGUUUCCAUUAUGUAAUUCUUUAGUAGGUAUGAUGAGCCUAAUAUCACAGAUCAAGUUUUAAUAACAUUAAAAACUUAUAUUAUGAGUUGUUUUUAUUUAUUGUAUGGUUUUGGUGGUAUACCUAUACAAAACAACUACUGAAAGAUUUAUAAAACCCAUGAAGUACUGGCAGAUAACAUAGUUGUUGAUAUUGAUAGAGAAUAUGUUAACACAGAAGAUAUUCCAUUUAUGAGUACUAAUCCAUAAACAUGUUAUAAAAUACUAUAAAAUUUAACAUUUAUAAUAAAUAUUUAAACCUUUGUUUUAUUGUAUUUAGUUUAUAUUCUUAAUAUACACUUUAUGUUGAA